rnacentral:rRNA from 1 species
AGCGAACGCUGGCGGCGUGCCUAACACAUGCAAGUCGAACGUGAAAGGGAGCAAUCCCAAGUAAAGUGGCGUACGGGUGAGUAACACGUAGGUAAUCUACCCCAGAAUCUGGAAUAACCGGCCGAAAGGCUGGCUAAUACUGGAUAGAGCGACGGAAUCCGUAAUUGGGUUUUUCGGGAAAGGGAGCCUGUAAAAAGGCCUUCGUUCUGGGAUGAGCCUGCGUCCCAUCAGCUAGUUGGUGAGGUAAAAGCUUACCAAGGCAAUGACGAGUAGCUGGUCUGAGAGGACGAUCAGCCACACUGGAACUGAAACACGGUCCAGACUCCUACGGGAGGCAGCAGUGGGGAAUCUUGCGCAAUGGACGAAAGUCUGACGCAGCAACGCCGCGUGAGUGAAGAAGGCCGUCGGGUUGUAAAGCUCUGUCGAGUGGGACGAAAAUGCUUGGAGUUCACAGCUCCAGGAACUGACGGUACCACUAAAGGAAGCACCGGCUAACUCCGUG